AUUGAACGCUGGCGGCAUGCUUUACACAUGCAAGUCGAACGGCAGCGCGGGCUUCGGCCUGGCGGCGAGUGGCGAACGGGUGAGUAAUACAUCGGAACGUGCCCAGUAGUGGGGGAUAGCUCGGCGAAAGCCGGAUUAAUACCGCAUACGACCUGAGGGUGAAAGCGGGGGAUCUUCGGACCUCGCGCUAUUGGAGCGGCCGAUGGCAGAUUAGCUAGUUGGUGGGGUAAAGGCCUACCAAGGCGACGAUCUGUAGCUGGUCUGAGAGGACGACCAGCCACACUGGAACUGAGACACGGCCCAGACUCCUACGGGAGGCAGCAGUGGGGAAUUUUGGACAAUGGGCGAAAGCCUGAUCCAGCAAUGCCGCGUGUGUGAUGAAGGCCUUCGGGUUGUAAAGCACUUUUGGCGGGAACGAAAAGGACUGUGCCAAUACCACGGUGCGAUGACGGUACCCGCAGAAUAAGCACCGGCUAACUACGUG
rnacentral:rRNA from 1 species